rnacentral:lncRNA from 1 species
ACACAUGUCAUGAACACUAAAUUAACAUUUUAUGACCUAAUCUAACUUUAUGUAAUAACAACUCAAUAACACAUGAUAAGGCUCAUCAACGUACUAAUCAUCUAUACAUACAUGUCAUUAAAAACAUAAUGAAUUGUUACCACCGCAGUACUAUUGCACACGUCCCCCAUCUCCCUCGCUCAUUAUAAACUUGCCAAUCAGACCCCGACCACACUGAUUAACUACAUUUCAAGUUGACACUCACCACUUGAUGCCGCCACUCUUCUCCAUUUGAACCCAAUGUCUUAGAUAACUGAUUGUGUUCAAGUCUGACCUUAUUUCCCAUUUUGAUUAUAUGGAACUUGAUUUGAUUGUGUGGAUUUAGGGUGUUCUAUUGAUGCGUGGUCGAAAACCGAUGUUCUCUUAUGUUUAAGUUCAUGUCUAAAGGAGUUUAGGGAGCUAUUCGGGAGCUAUACGGAUCAUCAGGACGAAAACCGGAUGAACCGUGAGCAAGAAAUGGGAAAAACAUAAAACAAGAAUUGCAGGGGUCGUCGGCGACGCCCCGCAGAAACCCCGUCAGCCAGAAACACUCAUAGUGUAAUGCCUCGCUUUUGUAACUUUCCUUAUUUAGAAAGUUUGUCUUGUAUUUCUAUUUCUAGAAAGUUGUAUUCUCUUGUAAUCGUAUUUCGUUUCCAAUCAUUGUAAACCGAGGCUUUGAUCGUAAUAAAACUUGAUCAUUUUAUAU